rnacentral:rRNA from 1 species
GACAGAGGUGCCGAGCGUUAGGCGGAAUCACUGGGCUUAAAGCGUGUGUAGGCGGGCGGGCAAGUACCUUGUGAAAUCCCACGGCUCAACCGUGGAACUGCUGGGUAUACUGCCUGUCUUGAGCCAGCCAGGGGCAGUCGGAACAGACGGUGGAGCGGUGAAAUGCGUAGAUAUCGUCUGGAACGCCAAAGGUGAAAACAGACUGCUGGGGCUGUGCUGACGCUGAGACAGAAAGCCAGGGGAGCGAACGGG